rnacentral:rRNA from 1 species
UACGGGGGGGGCAAGCGUUGUUCGGAAUUACUGGGCGUAAAGGCUCGUAGGCGGCCAACUAAGUCAGACGUGAAAUCCCUCGGCUUAACCGGGGAACUGCAUCUGAUACUGGAUGGCUUGAGUUCGGGAGAGGGAUGCGGAAUUCCAGGUGUAGCGGUGAAAUGCGUAGAUAUCGGGAGGAACACUGGUGGCGAAGGCGGUUCUCUGGGCCUUACCUGACGCUGAGGAGCGAAAGCGAUGGGGAGCGAACGGAGGA